UUCACCCAUGAACCCUAAUAUCCAAUUAUAAAUGAAUCCUCUUGCAAUUGAGACGUGAAGAUAGAAAGGCAGAUUGAAUGCAAAUAAUGAUGGGAGUCUCCAGGUUGCAAGAUGAAGCAUCGUGUGUUUCAAUUUCAUCUUAAGUUCAUCAUGGUUGAAACACACAAGACGCAUCUCACUAAUUUUGAAUGUCGGAGCGACACAAAGUUUCAACAACACUGAUUUAGAGAAAAAGUUUGCAGGGUUUAUAUCCAGAUUCGUUGAUAUACUGUCACCGAUGGCGGUUGGAGUCGCUAUCAUUGGAAAUCGGUGGAGGUGCGAUGCAGUUUCAGACUAUCACUCCGAUGUCUUUAAUACCACAAUGGUAUCGAUAAUAACUGCAAUAGUCAUCCAAGCAACAACCCUAGGGUAAGAAACACUUCAACAUGACUACAAUUUCAACAAUUGUAUGUUAUAAUUUUCUUUCUACAAUUAUCUUAACUUGAAUCUUGAAUUUUGAAUUGGAAUUUGAGUUUGAUUCUUUAUGAGUUUUUUCACAUAUCUUUACUAAUCAUGAUGUGUUGUUCUUGUUGUGUUAUCAUAUGGGUUUGAGUUGAUGAUUCAUAUCUUUAGUUGGGUUGGAUGAAAGUUAUUGUUUUGAUCGGAAUAUUGGGGUGUUUGGUUUGCAAAUCUUGAAAAGGGGGAGUGCCAAUCUGGUAGUGAUUAUUGGUUUUUAUUGUGUUUUUGUUUUGUGGGUAUUAAAGAUAGUGAUAACUGUGUGCUUAAGUUGGAAUUUUAUUUGUUGUUCUUUGUAUCUUGCGUUCAUGGGAGGUCGAUCAGGUACAGAAGGAAGAACAGUUGAACAACAAGUUCUAGAGUCAAAUCCAGUUCUGGAAGCCUUUGGGAAUGCGAAAACGGUGAAGAACAGCAAUUCCACGUUAAAAGUCCGCUUAAUAACACAUUUACAUACAUUUGUUUAGUAAAUUAAAAGUUAAUUUACAGGAAAGUUCACACGACUUUGUGUUUGUACCAGUCGUUAUGGUAAAUUUGUAGAGAUCCAAUUCGACAAGCAAGGGAAGAUAUCCGGAGCUGCGGUUAGAACUUACCUUCUAGAGAGAUCACGAGUUCGCCAGUGUCGGAUCAUGAAAAGAACUACCAUUGUUUUUACAUGCUCUGUGCAGCACCCCCCGAGGAUGUCAAGAGGUUCAAAUUAGGAGACCCGAGAACGUCUCAUUAUUUGAAUCAGACUAAUUGCUAUGAAGUAGUGAAUAUAGACGAUGGAAGAGAGUAUUUGGAAACACGAAAUGCUAUGGAUGUUGUGGGAAUCAACCAAGAUGAGCAGGUAACAAAUAUGAUGAAACGGGUUGACCAGUUUGAAAAAGUAAACUCACUCAAAAGUAAACGUAUUGAAUUACCAUCUGGGUAAAUAACCGAUGUCUAAAAGAUAACUCCAGACGGAAAUAUUACAAAACCACUGGAUCCAGCGGCUGCAGCCUUGAGUCGUGAUGCAUUGGCAAAAAUAGUUUAUUCUAGACUCUGUGAUUGGAUCGUGGACAAGAUAAAUAAUCCAAUUGGCCAGUUCGAGCGGCUGCACAGCCUACAGGUGCAACACACCUUCAAAUUCUACUCGUAGCAGUGGCGGACAUGGGCGGUGUGUUUCAUUCAGGCCGCUUGGCGGAGACAUUGCAAGCGGAAAAUGAUCGAGCAGCGGCAUAAGGAGGAGAUAGAGAUGGAACUCGCUGGCGGUGAUGGUGAUGGAGGUUCUCGCAGCCUUGGGUCAGGUAUUGGAAUACAGAUGUGGACUCCUUAAAGGUAUUGUAGAGUUGAGGUAUCGACAUUUAUUAGCGAAGAAUCGUCUCAUGUGUCAUCGGAUGGGGUGUUUCUGGGUGCAAAGAGUGAUAGUGUGUCUCAUGGUGGAGUGGACAUUGACCGAGAGUGGCGUGGGCCCAAGCGUAGGAAGGAUAUUUUAUGGGUUGAUAAAGGUAAAAAGGAAAAUAAAUUCUCUGGUUCAAUGUAUUCCCAUUUGAAGGUUUCACUUGGAGAUGUUUUUAGCUUGGAUGACUUGAGAGAAAGAAUGGCGGUUUACUUGAGCCAAAGUAACUGCCAUGAGAUUCUUGAUGCUAUGACUCAUGUUACAAAGAAUAUUGAUGAAGGAAGACUUAAAAUGAAGGCCCACUGUCCCAUAGUUACUGAUGUUGGAAUGAAGGAGAAUGCCUUGAAGAUUCUAAUGAGUUAUAACCCUGUUUGGUUAACAUGAUGCUUUGGGUUAUGUGGUAUUUUAAAUUUAGCGAUUUUGAUAGUAAUACCGGUGACACCAAUAACGACCACUAUCCUUCAAAGGGGACAAGCUCAAGCUCCGUACCUUACCAACGACAACCUCCGUUACCGCCGACAAGCUCUAUCAAGCACCACUGUAACGUCGUAAUGUCGACAAGCUCAAGCUCAAGCUCCGACCAGUUUUGUUUUAUUAUUUAGAAAAUGAAUAGUGUAAUUUUACGUAGAAUCCAUUUUUGAUAUGAGAUUUGAAUGAGAAGUUAUGUAAUCUUCAAAUUUACUAGUUCCGACAAGUUAUUAGCGGAUAUGAGAAUCCUUUGUUUGAGUUUUUGAUAUA